GGACGCGUAGCUCAGUGGUCAGAGCAGCCGACUGCAGAUCGGCAGGUCCAUGGUUCAAAUCCGUGUGCGUCCU